rnacentral:rRNA from 1 species
GAUGUCGACUUGGAGGUUGUGCCCUUGAGGCGUGGCUUCCGGAGCUAACGCGUUAAGUCGACCGCCUGGGGAGUACGGCCGCAAGGUUAAAACUCAAAUGAAUUGACGGGGGCCCGCACAAGCGGUGGAGCAUGUGGUUUAAUUCGAUGCAACGCGAAGAACCUUACCUACUCUUGACAUCCAGAGAAUUCGCUAGAGAUAGCUUAGUGCCUUCGGGAACUCUGAGACAGGUGCUGCAUGGCUGUCGUCAGCUCGUGUUGUGAAAUGUUGGGUUAAGUCCCGCAACGAGCGCAACCCUUAUCCUUUGUUGCCAGCACGUAAUGGUGGGAACUCAAAGGAGACUGCCGGUGAUAAACCGGAGGAAGGUGGGGAUGACGUCAAGUCAUCAUGGCCCUUACGAGUAGGGCUACACACGUGCUACAAUGGCGUAUACAAAGAGAAGCGAACUCGCGAGAGCCAGCGGACCUCAUAAAGUACGUCGUAGUCCGGAUCGGAGUCUGCAACUCGACUCCGUGAAGUCGGAAUCGCUAGUAAUCGUAGAUCAGAAUGCUACGGUGAAUACGUUCCCGGGCCUUGCACUCAGCGCCCGUCA